GAUGGCCUCUGGCAGCCUUUUUUUUCUUCUAAGAUUUAUAUAACGAUGGUAACAUCCGGGGUCAGAAAGGUAAACAGUUCCAGGAAAUUUCUUCGUUAAAAAAAGAAAAAGAAGAAAACUGAUAAUAUUUUUUUUUUUAAUAAGCCGCCUUUAACAGUUGAUUGUGCUUUCUCAUCGGUCAUUAACAUGCAAUUAGUGUUAUACCUAAUGAAAAAAAAAAUAGCUAUAGCCUACUUCCGUCAGCAUUUUGUCUCUUGAUUUAUUUUUUUCAUGUCAUUAUUUCACACGUGAUGUUGUACAAAAGAAAGAAGCGGAAUGAAUAUUACAUUUUCCAAUCUCAUAGGCACUGAUGUGGACAAGGGAAAUACCAACUACGUAUAUAAUCCUCUUAUCAGCAAUUCCAAUAUGCCGGGCCUGUAUAAUUCUCCCUGCGCAAUAGACGACCUCUAUGCGAUCCGUAGUAAAGUAUUGAUUCUUUUUCGCUACAUGUUCUAUGUACUCCCCUUUCAAUGGAAUUGUCAUAGCAGUGACGUCAAAUCCGAUUGAAAACGGGAAGCAUUUCUUUUUUUAAAAAAUCCCUUUUAUCGCGAUUUUCUGUUCCGUUUUGUGGAAAAAGUUCAAAUGUUGAGCGAUAGAUGGCGAUCAAAUCGAUGGGAACCGCUUCAACCCGCCGCCAAAAUCCAUCAAUCACGCUCGAGUUUCACGGACGGGUAUUAAUGCUCCGUGAGAAAUGAAACUGGAUCUCUUCUCCAUCAACCGUCACCUUGUUUGGUCAUUCCUACCUUCAUAAAACAAAAACUCAAAACAGUCCUAUUUCACAUGCAGAUUGCUGCUGCAGCUCUAAUGUUGAACUCAAGUGCGCGAUCGCAGUAUUUCAUCUCGAUUCGCUACUGAACUGCCACCAACGAAUUCAACCAUCUGUAAAAAAAAAGCAAAAAUAUAACCAAACUUAGACUUGGAGAAAAGAUAAUCAUCGCAGUUUGUUUCGUCCGAAUCAUUGUCCAACUCCGCUCGGUUUUGAAUUGUGUUUGUCACGACACAGUUGAGACGAUGAACCAAGUCAAAAUGAGCGCCGAAACAGUUUGGGGAGUGGUCACGGUUAGAUGAGACAAAGUGCACUGUCUGCCGAGUGAGUGUGUAAUCCUUUUUCUUCAGACAGAAUUUCAGUAAAAAUAAAACAAAAAUAAAAAAAAACCGUUCGUCAGCUUAAUGAAGCCACGCGUCGUUCAGCCCCAAGGGCGGCAGCAGCAGCCAAUUCGUCUAGAGAUUUAAAGCCUGUCGUCGGCGUUUGAAAAAACAUUACGUAUUAUAUCCUAGAAGAGCCUAUACAGACAGAGUCGACUUUGUGUGUGUGAUAAUAACAUACAGGAAUAUUAUAACUGGAUACUGGAAUAACCGGAUGAAUGGGAACCCCUCUAGUCUUCUACAGUCGUCCUUAUUAUCUUCUUCAAUAGAUUUUAUUUUUAUUUUUAUUUUUCGUUAUAAUAAUGUAUAACUCAAAGGCUUCCUUUUUUGAUAUGCCGUUUCAAUCUGUGACCCGACCGAAAUCGGUAGCCCCCGAAAGAAAAAAAAGAGAAGUUGAUGAUGGUGGUAAUUAUCUUUUAUUUAAUACGCGUGCAUACACACUACUGGAGUUUUUGGCCGUAGGAUGAGGCAACUCUCUACAGCAGCUAAUUAUAUUGGUAUCCGCCGAAUGUUUUACCUGCGUAGCAUCCAGUAUAUGCGUUAGAGACUACCGUGCUCUAUACGUGAACUGGACAGGUUGGAAGAAAAAGAAAAAGGAAUCUGGUCGUAACUUGUUUUUUUUCUUUUUUAAAAAAAAUGAAAUAAAAAGGCCUCUGUCUUAAAUAAACUGAAACUCUAAAUUAUUCUUAUUCUCAGAACAUCUUUCUCUCUAACAGAGACAGAGAGAGAAAAACACUGGAGGCUUGUUGUUGCCAAGUCGGACACGUUCUAAGGCCCCGUAGCUCGGCCGCAUCUAUAUACAGGAAUAUAUAUACUAUACUGUGCCUGUGUAUGUAUAAACCGGUUUGAACUCGAAUGCCCACAUACAUUUUAUAAAAUGAUA